CAAAUCAUGCUUAAACGGUUUUGUCCUUUUGUAAUUCAUUGUCAUAACAUUUUUAUAUUUUUAGCUUACCUAACCUUAGGCUUUAAGCGUUCGGUAUGUAGGUUAUUCGAGAGUUGUGCGCGCACAAAUCGUUAUCAUUAUUGACUUGAAGCGUGCUAACAAUCUGAGUUGACAAAACACUGUAGACGAAAUGACAUUCAACAGUUGCACUACAAAAAUAAAACCCCAACAAACAGCAAACCCUCCAAUCCCC
rnacentral:lncRNA from 1 species